GAAAAUGAUGAGUCACUUGGAAUCUCGUUCGUCUGAACAACUGUUGAGAAACGGAAUCUCUGACAUCA